rnacentral:rRNA from 1 species
UAGGGAAUCUUCGGCAAUGGGGGGAACCCUGACCGAGCAACGCCGCGUGAGUGAAGAAGGUUUUCGGAUCGUAAAGCUCUGUUGUUAAGGAAGAACGAGUGUGAGAAUGGAAAGUUCAUGCUGUGACGGUACUUAACCAGAAAGGGACGGCUAACUACGUGCCAGCAGCCGCGGUAAUACGUAGGUCCCGAGCGUUGUCCGGAUUUAUUGGGCGUAAAGCGAGCGCAGGCGGUUAGAAAAGUCUGAAGUGAAAGGCAGUGGCUCAACCAUUGUAGGCUUUGGAAACUGUUUAACUUGAGUGCAGAAGGGGAGAGUGGAAUUCCAUGUGUAGCGGUGAAAUGCGUAGAUAUUAGGAAGAACACCAGUGGCGAAGGCGACUUUCUGGACGAACACUGACGCUGAGGCGCGAAAGCCAGGGGAGCGAACGGG